rnacentral:rRNA from 1 species
CCUACGGGUGGCUGCAGUAAGGAAUAUUGGUCAAUGGAGGAAACUCUGAACCAGCCAUCCCGCGUGAAGGAUGAAGGGGCUCUGCCUUGUAAACUUCUUUUGUCUGGGGCGAAAAAGCUCGAUUUAUCGAGAACUGACGGUACCAGAAGAAUAAGAAACGGCUAACUCCGUGCCAGCAGCCGCGGUAAUACGGAGGGUGCAAGAAUCAUCCGGAAUCACUGGGGCGUAGGGGUGCUUAGGCGGCUGAGGAGAAAGGCUGUGGCUUAACCAUGGAAUUGCCAUUUAUACUGCAGAGCUUGAAUGAGGUUGAGGUUGGCGGAAUGUGACAUGUAGCGGUGAAAUGCUUAGAUAUGUCAUGGAACACCGAUUGCGAAGGCAGCUGACUGGACCUAUAUUGACGCUGAGGCACGAAAGCGUGGGGAGCGAACAGGAUUAGAUACCCGAGUAGUC